rfam:Streptomyces viridochromogenes strain NRRL 3414 P001contig80.1, whole genome shotgun sequence.
GAUAGGUCGCUGUCGCUACUGUGAUUGGACACUGACAGAGAGUCAACUAGCCUUGUUCGCGCGGUUCUUCGCGCGCGGAACCGAGGGCGGUCCGAGCCACGAGGGGGGAGGCUCGGACCGCCCGUU